GCAUCGAUGAAGAACGCAGCCAGCUGCGUGAACUAAUGUGAAUUGCAGGACACAUCGAACAUCGACACUUUGAACGCAUAUUGCGGCCAA
rnacentral:rRNA from 1 species